rnacentral:rRNA from 1 species
GGGGAAUAUUGGACAAUGGGCGAAAGCCUGAUCCAGCCAUGCCGCGUGAGUGAUGAAGGCUCUAGGGUUGUAAAGCUCUUUCGCCGAUGAAGAUAAUGACGGUAGUCGGAGAAGAAGCCCCGGCUAACUUCGUGCCAGCAGCCGCGGUAAUACGAAGGGGGCUAGCGUUGUUCGGAAUUACUGGGCGUAAAGCGCGCGUAGGCUGUGUCGCAAGUCAGUGGUGAAAUCCCGGAGCUCAACUUCGGAACUGCCAUUGAAACUGCGAUGCUGGAAUCUCAGAGGGGGUAGCGGAAUUCCAAAUGUAGAGGUGAAAUUCGUAGAUAUUUGGAGGAACACCGGUGGCGAAGGCGGCUACCUGGCUGAGUAUUGACGCUGAGGCGCGAAAGCGUGGGGAUCAAACAGGA